UUUCAAUAUUCGAAUGUUACCAAUAUGUUAAUGAUUGUAUUUAACACUAUUUAUUUGAAUUCUAAUCGCUUUACUAAUCAUUUUAUCAAGUGCGCAUUUCGCGCAUACUUUUCCAACGUCUAAUUAAGAUGAUGAGCAUGUCACGUUUCGUUUACGAUCGUUGGAAUGUGAAAACUAUAAGACAAUGCUUUUUAAAUAAUUAACCAGUUAUUAUUCUAUGAAGAAUUACAUUAAGAAAGUUUCAUAUGCUUUCGCAUGCACUCUUUAUAAUGUUUUACAAUUAAAAUUUAUAGAGCGAAAAAUUCUUCUGAAUUUUGUUUUAAGACGUUUUUUUUUUUGAUCGAAUAUUCGAAAUCUACAAAGAAUAUUCGAAAGAAUUUGUUUUAAAACAAUAAUUAUUAUUUUAUAAAUUUUUAACACUUGAUCUUUUAUUAAUUUUGUGAUAUAGAUGUUUAUGAUUGAUUAUCACUUUGCAUUAAUUUAAAAAUUUUUUUUCAUUUUAUAUAAUAUUUCGUUUCAAUGUUUUUAUUUCUAUAUGUUUUUAUUAAUAUUAUCACACGAUACUUUUCUUGAAUAAACGCAUAUGUGAAUACACGCGAGUAUAAAGGACGUAAUGUUAUUAAAGUACACUGCACAAGUUUAAGAACAAAAAAAAAAAAGAUAGAAAGAAAAAUGAGCGAAAGAAAGAGAAGAAAUAGAGGGAUAGAAAACGUCACAUAUACGCAACGAAUAUCGUUCUUGCCGAAAGGCUGACCUCCCACCGACUGGAAAUCAUGAACGCACGCACGCACGCAUUUAUAGAGACCUUGUGUUCCUGCUUCGGCCAGUUCGUAUCCAAACUCGUGUUCCGGUCGAGUGUCGUGUGUUUAUGUUUAACUUCUCGUUCCUUCUCUCUUUCUCCUUCUAGAUAAUUAGCUGAUUUGAUUUGAUUUGAUUUUAUUCACAAAUUUUCGUUUUCAAAUAUUCGUAACUUUCUAUUCAGAUGUAUCUUUUUAUUCAUUAUGCUGCAUGGUUAAUCAGAUGAAUUAUGAAUAAUAUCAAUUUGAAAAAAGAUAUCAACUAAUUAGAUUAAUAACAAGUAUUAAAAAUAAAGUGGAAUGAUGAGUGAAAUUUCUAUAUACGAACCUAAAAGAAAAAGAUUAAAUUUGUAAUUCCACAUCAUAUCAGAUUUUUAGAAUGUAGUUUUAUGUUAUAUAUUAUAGAUAAUAUGGUUUACGUCACGAUUUGGACGCAUAUCUAUGAAAACAGAUGGUAGAGCAUGAAGGAGCUCGUUCGAUUUCUUCCUGCGUGCCUUUCUCUACCUUCUAUCUCCUUAUGAUGUAGAGAGACUAGGUUACCAGAAAAAUAGAAGCAAUGCAAAUAAAAAUUCGUUGGCACUAAUA